UUUGUCAGAUCCUUCAUCAAGAACAAGGUUUCCAGAUACCCCAUGCAAACCCCGAAACCCAAAGGAGUAAUAAGUGUGUGGAAUAGAGGAAAUGCUUAGAAGACUCAGAAGCCUAGUUCAAGAGGUAGAGAACUCAAACCUCUCCUACAAUUACAAAUGGGAGUACAGGUAUUUAGCUCAGGAAGUUCCCAAGAGGAAAAUUAUUGGAGGCUGAGAGAGAAUCGGAGGAAACAUCACUUUAUGCUCAUCCUGCUCCUGUACUUCUCCUAGAUGUUCACUCUGGCCAGUGCUGGAGACAAGACAAAAAAACCAGCACAAGCAGACUCAGAAGACCCUGGCAGAACAGAGCACUUGCAGUGAGGGGCUGGGGUUGAUGCUGAAGUGAUGUGACAUCAAAGCAGGCUCAGAGCAGUCAUUCCCAGGUCUCAAACAACAGGAGGGAAUUUUCAGAUCAGUUUGGUUGGCCAAACACAAUGUCUACAGGCACAGCCCUGGAACUGGACUAAACACCCUUGGCUCUCUCUGCAUGCACUGAAUGACACAUUUUAGCCCUUUGGGCUGUGUUCAUCCUACAGUCACCGAGUGAAGUUUGGAUGGUCUUGCCAUAGA